UUACCCAAUUGAUGAGUGUGAUUUCCAAUAGGAUUGCCAGGUUUGGCAGUGAAGCUCCUCAAAUUCCCAGCAAUUAGAGUUUUAGAAUUUGGGUGGUGGAAGAGGGAGUGAGAGCGGCGAAGGAAGCAGUGAAUAAGCCUAACGCCAUUAGACCCAACCAUUUGCGACCUUG